AUCAGAAACCGUCGAGAGAGGUGUCCACAGAGGCGCUGUAAUUUUUCUAGUUGUUUGCAAGUUGUCCCAGAUUUUUAAGAUAACCACAGGAGCCGCAAUUAAUUAAAAACCGAAUUAUUUUCUACACCGCUCCGUGCGAGUGCAGCGAGGCUUUGGGGUUCCAUGUUCUACUUCUACCAAAAUGGGUUUCCUUUAAAAGGAAAACGCUCAGUUUGGGAAGUAUCUUUCUGCUUCAUACUUUCGAGUUAUAAUCCGGAAGUGACCGCUGCCAUUUUGUGGUGAACUUUGACCGAUCCCUGGUAUAUUCCGUUCUCCACUAGAGGAUACCCGGAGGCUUUCCACCCCGUCCGAGAGAAGACCGCCCCUUUUCCCAAGACUUCGAGGGUGCAGAGUUAAGUCUUGGUGGCGCCCGAGAGACCGAUCGACCGUCUACUGUGUGAUAAUUGAAUUGUACAAUUAUAUUAUUGUUCGACAAUUAAAGGAACUUGAAAUAA